AAGUCGUAACAAGGUUUCCGUAGGUGAACCUGCGGAAGGAUCAUUAUCGUAGGGCUUCGGCCCUGUCGAGAUGGAACCCUUGCCUUUAUGAGUACCGUCCGUUCCUCGCAGGCCGCGUCGCCUGCAUGGACCUGAAACCAAAACCCAUUUCAUUUACUUCGUAUCAGUCUGAAAAAAUAAACAAAAAUUAAAA
rnacentral:misc_RNA from 1 species